ACGGGCUGGAUCCGAGCAGCUGAUAACUUUGUCCAUUUCUGACACUGUGGCUGUUACCAUGACGUCCAAGAUGGCGCAAACCCGCGCCUCUAAAUCGGACAUGUUGGGACCGUUGACGCAGCUCGGUCGGUCCAGAAGUUCACACCUUUCAAAAUAAAACACACUUCGUCAAUCAGCGGAAAACAACAUAACGCGUUUUACUGAACAGAGACAAGCAAAGGAGAGAAAACCCGUUUCUCGAGUCGAGACCACUGACAGCACUGGAGUCAGGACUGGUGGCGUCCUCAGGCAUAUACUCUGGAGGGGAUUCAGGUUUCAGCUCCAACGCUGUUGUUUCUGAUACCACCGACGUAGACGUCAAAGUCUGGGCGACGAC